rnacentral:lncRNA from 12 species
AGGAAUGGAAAGCAGUUCCCAUUAGGGAGCUAAGCGCCAUUUCGGGGGUGGAGGGAUGUGCGCAGGGCUUUGGGCAGACCUGUGCAUAGUGCAUAAUCAUGCUAAUUUGGCAUGAUUGAUUGCUUCACUCUCUUCCUCCCCCUCCCUGUCCUGGACCCUCCUGGGCUUCUGGGGAGUUUGAGGCACGGCUAAUCCCAGCAAAGACUUCUGAUCCUGACUCUGAAGGGCUCUGGUAGGCCUGUGAAUUUCUGUCUUCUCUGUCACCAGGAUGACAGCCUGGCCUGGGUCUCAAACGAUCUGAUCCAGACCAGCAAGACCUAGGCAGGAUAAUGAGAACCAGAUUUGUGGAAAGAGAAUGUAAAGUACAGAUGGGUGGUCUGCUUUGCUUCAGAGUUAUCCUGAGUGAUGGAACAGAAAAAGAGCCAGACUGUCCAGCAUAACAAUGAAGCACAGGAGGCCUGAAGUCAGGUAAUCUGGACUUUAUCCAGGUCCCAACCCAUCUUAAAAGUCUGACUUCUCCAAUCUUCCAUUUUCUCUUCUGUCAAGUGGGAGGAAUAAUGGUACCUAUAGAGCUGCUCCAAGAAUAAAAUGAAAUAAUGAGCAUAAAGCUCUUAGCA